AUUUUAAAUAUUAGUCAGGGAAAAAUUUGUGUGGUGCUUCGUUUAUUGAUCUAACAGAAAGGGUGUGCAAGAUUCAAUCUCCAAGGCCAUCACAACUUUCAGACUUCUCAGAAGAAGAAGAAUACGAAUAUGAAAGAGAAGCUACUUCGGAACCCGAACCAAAUCUAUUAUUAGACACUGAUAGGGAGGAUGAGCUUUCUCCCACAAACUCUCAACAAAUAGGCUCUCUAUCAGAUGUCGAAUAGAUCGUCUCGUAAUUAUUUAAAGUUAAUUUUAGUGCCAAUAAGUUAAGAUUAAAUCUUACAGAUUACUAAAAUAAUUUCAGUUGUUUUAGUUUUGAUUUCUCUGCAAAAUUAUAACUAAAAAGCCAAUUUUCAUAUUAUAAACAUAUUAUGAUGAAAAAUUAAGUAUUUUAUAAAUUAUGUUAGUCAAAUUUUGUUAUGAAAAUGAAUUUCAUUCUUUAAAAUCAUUUACUUGUAAAUUGUUGAAAAUGAAUAUUCUAUUUUUUAAUUAUGUUUAUUAAUUCAACAAAUGAAAGAAUGAAUAGUAUAACUGUAGAAUAACCCAAAGUUGUUUAUAGAUGUACAUAAUCUUUGUAAUAUUUUGUAAAGUUGUUAAAUAAUAAAUUCAAUUUUAAUAUUA